CCAUGCCUUCCUCGUCGCUGCGGGUGGCAGUAGUGUGCUCAAGUAACCAGAACCAGAGUAUGGAGGCGCACUACAUCCUCAGCAAGCAAGGAUUCAGCGUCCAAUCCUUUGGAACAGGGACUCACGUGAAGCUUCCAGGACCAGCGCCUGACAAACCAAAUAUUUACGAUUUCAAAACUACCUACGAUCAGAUGUACAACGAUCUUCUCAGGAAAGACAAAGAACUCUACACGCAGAAUGGCAUAUUACAUAUGUUGGACCGAAAUAAGAGAAUCAAGCCUCGACCAGAAAGGUUCCAGAACUGCAAGGAUCUGUUCGAUCUGAUCCUUACCUGUGAGGAGAGAGUGUAUGACCAGGUGGUGGAAGACCUCAAUUUCAGAGAACAGGAGACCUGCCAGCCAGUGCAUGUGAUCAACGUGGACAUCCAGGACAACCUCGAGGAGGCCGCUGUGGGGGCGUUUCUCAUCUCUGAACUCUGCCAGUGCAUCCGGCACAGCGAGGACAUGGAGAACGAGAUCGAAGAUUUGCUGCUAGAGUUGGAGAAGAAGAGCGGACGGGCCUUCCUGCACACAGUCUGCUUCUACUGACUGG